rnacentral:lncRNA from 1 species
AUCGUCAAUAUCAAAUUUGACCUCCAUUUUGUCAUCCGUAUCAACAUCUUAAAAUUUGAAAAGCUUAGAUUGAAUGGUUCAUGAGUAAAUGCAACAACGUGAAUGGAAACGCCAUUUCACAAUCUUUCAAGAACCAUAACUCCUGAACGGUAAAAGUCAAAAUCAUCAUUAUUGAACUUGACCUCUAAUUUGCCAUCAGUAACAACAUAUAAAAAUUUCAAAAGCUUUGGUUGAAUGAUUCAUGAGAAAAUGCACGGACACGACUGGAAACACCAUUUUUCAAUUUUUCAAGAACAUAACUCCUGAACGGUAAAAGUCAAAAUCGUCAUUAUUGAACUUGACCUCUAUUUUGUCAUCAGUAACAACAUAUUAAAAUUUGGGAAGCUUUGGUAAAACAGUUCAUGUGUAAAUGCAUGGACACGACUGGAAACACCAUUUUUCAAUCUUUCAAGAACCUUAACUCCUGAACGGUAAAAGUCAAAAUCGUCAUUAUUGAACUUGACCUCCAUUUUGUCAUCAGUAACAACAUAUUAAAAUUUGGGAAGCUUAGGUAGAACAGUUCAUGCGUAAAUGCACAGACACGACUGGAAACUCCAUUUUUCAAUCUUUCAAGAACCAUAACUCCUGAACGGUAAAAGUCAAAAUCGCCAUUAUUGAACUUGACCUUCAUUUAGUUGUCAGUAACAACAUAUUAAAAUGUUAAAAGCUUUGGUUGAACGGUUCAUGAGUUAAUGCACGGACAACAUUUGAGUGACGCC